CCCCAGGGACCCUCCCCCCCCCCGACAUUUAGAGAUCAGAGGAAAGCGGAGGAGCCCACCAAGCAGAUCAAGAAGCUCUGGCAGCACUGACUUUAUUCUAACUCCCCUCACCCACCAUCGCCCCACAGGGUCCACAAGGGUCCACGUCCAUGACGUUUUCUCUGCCUGGGGCGCCUCCUCCCUGCCCACAGUCCCCGGCCCCCCGGCUUUGCCCAGACACCCAUCUGAGCACUCCCGAGAUGGCAGCUCUUGUCACUUCCGUUGCCACCUUCCCUCAAAUGACAGACUGACAGCACCUUGCCGAGACAGGGGCCCUCCCCCACAGGGUCUCAGAGCAGCACAAGCAUGUCCUCCAGGGCAUGCGCACAGCGGUAAUCUGCAUGUACUGUAUGACGGCUGUCUUGCCAUGCAGGAUGUCUGUAAGGGCAAGGAAGCAAGGUAGAGUCUGUUUUUGCUCCGUGUCCAGUGUCCGGGACAGAGCCCGGUGUCGGGCAGGCCCUCCAUAAAGACUAGACAAGUGAAGGAAUCUCUCUCCUCAGUUUGCUGCUCCAUGGGACACUAAGACUUUCUCUGUCUAGGUCCCAUGCCGAGCUGUCUGGAUGAAAUGCUCCUUCUGUAGUUAUGCCAACCAAAAUUAAACAUCCCUGCGCUCAUCUCCUCCCACCUUCUUGGAGCACCUGUGUCCUCGGCUCCCCGCCUUCCCUUCGGGGCCUGGUGCCCACACCUCCGCCUUUUCACAUCCAUUGUUCUCCGGGGAGAAUCAGUAACAUAAAUAUUGGCACGUCUACCACUCAACUGUUCUUUAAUUACUCAGCUCCAACCAGAGUAGUUUUGUCCUCAACCUACAUACAUUAUUCAGAUGGGGUUAUACAGUUCAAGUUUCAACACUGCGAACAUUCAGAGAAACUUCUAAACAGUAUGAACAACAAGAAAGCUGUACUCGGCAUAGGUAGGAAGGUGCUCCCAAUGUUUGGAAAGAGUCAAGAAAGGAACUGCCCGCAAACUGAAAUGAAAAAACAAAAAGUAGACACAAAUAUUUACACCUAUACUUGUGCGUGCAUUUUUCUAAAGAGAAGGCGCAGGGCUCAUAGAUUUAAUUAGAUUCUCAGAGCACAUAUAACCACCUCCCCUACCCCAGAAGGAAAGAUGGCAAAACGCAUAUCCAUCCUAUAGAAUAAUGUUAGAAAGGACACGAAAAAUCAUCAUGUGUAGACAUAACAUGGUUUGUAAGACAUGUCAUUCAGUUAAAAAGCAAGUUAUGAAAUCUAUAAAGCAUAUUAUUCAUAUAAACACACACACACAAUCUUUUUUUUUUAAUGUGUAUGCGUGGCUUUAGAGAUGGCGGUUACCAGACUGAGAACAGCAUCCAUCACCCCCGGAGAAGGGGAAGGGACUGAAAUGGCAGAUACGAUCUCAAUAAGGCGUAGUCUCAUCUGAAAUGUUUAAACCCCUUUCUGCAUGGAGAAUGUGUUAUGUAUUGCUCACAUAAAUCAAAAGUAACUUUCAAAGGUGUUACAAGAACUCUAUAAUCUACAUACACUAAAAUGGCAAAAGCAUACAGAGCCCAGGCCCCGACCCAGGCUAAGCAGGCCCCCAGCUCCAGCCCUGUAGCUGGAGUAGGGCCUUGGCUUAGGGUCUCAAGCCUGGGCACAUGGAGCUCUUCUUCUGUUUAUAAAAAAGCUGUCCACCUUAAAAGUGUGGACGAAUAGGUUUCUAAAGCAUUCACUGUUUACACUAUGAAUACUGUAAGUAAGCCAGACGUGAAAAAUGAGAAUGCUUCUCUAUCUUCUAAACACAAAGGAUAAAAAUGGUAAAAGGUAUUGAUCACCAUCUAAGGUAAAAAGUAAUUUUAUGAGACUGACCCCUUGCACAAACAUAAAUGGAAAAAUUAUGACACAAGAGCUUAUUUAAGCAGCAAGUUACUGAGCAACUGAAAAUUAUUUCAGACAAGUGUGAAAAUUUAAGGAAAAAAGAAUGAAACUUUCUGUGACCCCUACAUGCACUAAACAUUUCUGCAAACAAAAUAACAUAUAGGUUUAUCAUGUCUGUUGAGCUCUGAUUUUUAGUAGAAAAAGUGUACGUUUCAAUUAAACAGUGUAAUUCAAAAAGAUUAAGUUCUGUGGGUCGAACCGCUAAGACUCCAACACGUCUGUUAGACUGUCAAAUGAAUGAGAUUAUAUUUAUCAAAAAAUUGCCGUUUUUCAAAUCGUCCUUUCUUGUCUGGCAGUUGGGAGAGCCGUCCAGGAGCACACAACGUGCCUUAGGAGCCGAGCCCAGCCCCGAAGAGUCUCACAUUCUGAAUUCCAGAUCUCCCACCACCGUCUUAGCCACGCUAAGCACAACUAAGCAAAUACUUUGAUGAAAAUGUAAAACCAGCUCCUGAAUAAAGAGUCUGAAAUCGUUGAGCAAACUGAAAGAAUACUCAAAGUGAUUUAAGAUGACUGAUAAAUCCACCUGUCAGCAAGCGCAAAUGAGGAGUACAGCCGAGAUGACUAUAUUAGGUGUUGAAUUCAGUGGAAAGUUUGUCCGUGUGCUUGUUUUUCCCUCUGGAGCCUGAGCUCCCUUUUCAAAAGCACCAGGCAUGUCAAGGUGAUGGAAGUUACGCAAACACGCACCAUGGCAAAUGGAUGGGGUCAGGGUACGGCUGGUGAGUGUGGCUUUGGCGCUGUCACUGAACUGAACAAAGCAAACACAGGUUUUGCAACUGUCAUUUUUUGGUGAAUGCACAGUGCAUGAUGGGGGGAGUCAGUUAUGAUGAAAAGCAAAAAUAGACUUCAGUCAAGAUACAUCUUUUAUUUUCUGCUAUACUUAACUGCUUCCAGGACCCCAUUAAAGGCUGAAACCUGAAAAGCCUGAAGCUCACUUUGCAUCCAGGUCUCGGCUGCUCCACACCUGGCACUAACCCUGACAAGUACUUCACGUUCCACCCCAGACAGACGGUACAAUCAAUAUUUUCCUGCAAAUCCACAAGCUUUUCUCAGAGAUCCAGGAACUCGGGGCUUACUAUCUGCACUGCUCUUUCAGGUGACUUGCUGAGCAAUUCGCCUGCGUGUGGCAGGUUCCUCAUCUCUGCUUAUAGAGCUCUAAAGAUCAAAAAAGCCCUUUCGAGUUCAAAACUUCAAAUCCUUUUCACUUAUGACCAACCAAAAACUGGGGACCAAAAUCAUUUAAAUAAUUUCUCAUACGUUAGUAUUUCCCAGAUCCUGAAGAACAGCACAAAGCUAUACUUCGUUGAAUGAAGAAAUCCUGGACAUAUUUCCAACUAAGAACAGAUCUAUGCCCUGGUUGGUGUGGCUCAGUACAUUACAGCAUUGUCCCAUCAACCAAAAGGUCGUAGGUUAGACUCCCAGUCAAGGCACAUGCCUGGGUUGCAGGUUCAGUCCCCAGUCUACUUGGGACAAGUAGAGGAGGCAACCAAUUGAUGUUUCUCUCUCACAUCAAAGUUUCUCUCCCUCCCUUCCCCUCUCUCUAAAAUUUUAAUAAGCGUGUCCUCAGGUGAGGAUAAAAAAAAGAAUAGAUCUAUAUUCUCUGACAAUCCAGUGGAGGAAGAGUAAGCCUGUCCCCACCUUAUGAGGAGCCCAGGUCGUGUUCCUCACUCUAAGAGAACGCCCCACCUCUACCUGGAGAACCUGCUGGUAGAACCACCACUGCUACAAAAAUUCAUCAUCAAUUACUUUAAUCUGACAGUGAAGUCCACGGCAGCCUAAACUGUCAUUAUUCUACUGUGGCCCCAUUAAAGGCCUGUCUGGAGCAGCUCUAAUUCUCCCCUAUUCCUAGACGGCCACAACACUACAGGUUAAACCUGUCCCAAGGCCGUAAAAGCAGAACCACCUGUCACCUGUGUGGCUAUCCAAUCAAGCCAGAGGAGACCUAUCAUAAGCAAACACAGCAAUAAUACCAGUGACAUUACAGACCGAAGGCUGAAACACCUUAUGGAACAGCCACGAGUGACCGCCAACUGCUGCACUUCUCAGAAGUCUUCCGCAUACUGAAUUCCUCUUACAGCCAACUGAUAAGACAACUUUCAUCCAACAGGCAGGCAGGUGUUUGCAACAACGAUAAAAGAUUUUUAGAAAACAAAACCAUCAGCGGCAGCCAAUACUCACACACACCCCUCCCAAGUAGAAAAUCAAGGCAGAUGCCAACUGGAGACCUAACCCUUUGCCAGAACACCCUUUGUCCCACUCUUUUCCUGGGAUCCAGGCCUUACUAGAAGAAGAGUUUUGUGUUAGUGAGAUCGGCUGGGGUUACCCUACUAAUGGGGUAUAGUGAAAGGUAAGCGGGGAAAGGUGAUGCACAGAUAUAUUAAAAAAAAAAACAGACAUGUUCCAAGACCUGCCACAAACACGCCACCACCGUCACAGGGAGGGAUGGGGGCACAGUGUCAGAGCAGUGGAGGUCCCAGUCCUCAUGGAGAACAUCUUCACAUUGCUCCUAAUUCCUGAAGCCUCCUCUCUCUAGGGUCCUAAAUGCAACUUCAUCAAGCCAACGGCUGGGCUUCUAAGCAAGUAAUGGCAGCUCUUCGCUGUAAAAAUAUCUACUUUCCUACAGCCGGAGCUGCUCGCAUCUUUUCGGUGGACAGUAAACGCAUGUGGGAUGAAGAGAAGAGAACUCGAGGACAGUGAUUACCCCUGGGGAGGCGGAAGGACGAAAAGGGCUGGAGAGGAGGGUGCACAACCAGAUCGGCCUGAAGUAAAUACGUGAACAUUUGCCCAAUCUGUGAGGUGGGUACCUGGAAAUCUAGUACGCGUACAUAGUUUGUUAAUUUCCCUGCAUGUCUGCAACACUCUGUAAUACAAAAAGGAAAAUAAAAUGUUUUAAAUGUGAGAAGGAGGCACAAAAGGCACAAAGAAAGCGCAGGCUGGUGCCUGAGCACCGAGGUGUCAAAGUCCAAUCACACUUCUUUGAUUAAACGUAACUGCCAAACACAACAAUAAGUACCGGUACACACAGGCGUCCUGGGAACGCUAAAAUCCAAGAUACAUAACAAAGUUAGAACCCUCUUUGUAGUUUCACAUUUUAUUGCCCCAUAGUCUUUUGAUAUCAAUAUUGUUAACAAAAGGAGCAUUGGUACAUUUAUCUUUCGCCAAAUAAAAUGCCUGCCCAUAUUUGAAGUUACACUGAAGGACUAAACAGUGUUAGUUUAACGUGCAUUUGUUAAUCUAAAUGGAAAGCACACUGCAGGAGGCAUAAAUAUGGCCGCUUAAUGUUUAGUACUGACACUGAGUGGGAUCAAAGUGUAUGCGACACAUUUGUUUAGGGUCCAGAGAAAACCAGCAGGACUCAGGCCUGUGCUAACAAACACAGAUGCUGCCACAGAGGGAGAACUGAAGAAAACCCACAGGUGUCUUCUCGAGGACCUGCUACCAAAUGGUCCGUACCAGCAAUGCACUGACAGCCGUUCAGUGCCCGUGUGGCCUCAGCAGGCCUUGUCCCCAGUUUUUCUAGGUCCCUGCUUUGGUGUACACCCACCAUGCGGUCAUUAGAUUAGGGAAGAAGUCUGCCCAUAUGCCAGUUGUGUGGCUAGGUGUUACCACCUCACCACAUGCAAACACCACAAAACUUGUAAACCGUUGGCACAGGAGUCAAGUCGGGCUCAUAAAUACUUCAUUGGGCUCAUAUAUUUUUUAAAAAACUUGAGUUAGGGUAAUGAUCAUAAAAAUCUGGAUUUCCUUUUUCUUUCUAUCACAAGAUCUGGCAACACUAGACUGUUGUGAGCUAAGUGGCAGCUGUGCAAUUUGUGCAAGUGUGUUCACCACAGCUCCUCCGCUCCCCACCCCACACACCACCGUUGCGUAUCCACACUGCUGGUCCUGCAUCUGCAGGCACAUCAAUCUGUGACUUAAUGUUUAGGGUGCCACGCCUUGGAGACACUGGAAAUGAAUAGAUCCUCCCUCGAACCAAAUUAGGGGGUGGGAGGGAGACAAGGAGAAAGGGCUUGGCGUCUCGGACUAUGACUCCCAACGCAGGAUGGAAGAGGGGAGAAGAGCUUGAACCAGGCGUUAUCCCUACCAUCAACAGAGACCCACCUCGACAGUCCUGUUUCUGAGCUCCGGCACACACAACUCCUUUUCUCACGCUGCCGGGUUCCCCGAAUACAUUCGAUCCCUGACUCUGAAAAGCACUCAGUGCAGCUUAAGAGGGAAUCGCCUCUGCUCCCACAUUGCCUAAGGACUCACAGAGGUGUGCUGGCUUGUUUCUUGAUGCAAGGCUCCCAACCCCAAGCCAUGGGAAUUCCUUUCCCCUUGGUAAUGCAUCAGAUGCCUACAAAUGCUGUACCUAAACCCACAGCGAGUGAAGGAAGCAUAUACUGUGACAUUUGUUAAGCCAGGAGGAAAAGCAAUUACAGCAAAAAAAAAAAAAAAAACAACAAGAUGUUUGAUGCAAAGAGGAGAAAUUACACAUCAAGGCAAAAGUGUCAGACACUCGUACACAAAAGACGUGCAGAGAAAGAUGGAACAGAACGCCAUUCAUUAAUCAGUCUCAAGAGAAUACAAAUGUGUCUAUAUCAAAUGAAAUUUCCUAGGAAGAACUAUAAUAAGUGUCGUAAUGUGCAGAGAGAUAUGUACACACACACACACACACAUAUGUACAUAUAGGCAUACUUGUGACAAAGUUCAGGAUAUAUUAGGUUAUCACUACACGUACACUAU